GACAGAAAGACCCUAUGAAGCUUUACUGUAGCUUGGAAUUGAGUUUGGGUUUAUUUUGCGCAGUAUAGGUGGGAAGCUAUGAUGAUAAACUUGCGGGUUUGUUGGAGCUAUCAGUGAGAUACCACUCUUAAUAAACUAGAACUCUAACCUUGAUAGCCGUAAACCGGCCAAGGAACAGUUUCAGGUAGGCAGUUUGACUGGGGCGGUCGCCUCCUAAAAAGUAACGGAGGCGUGCAAAGGUUUCCUCAGACUGGUCGGAAAUCAGUCGCAGAGUAUAAAGGCAUAAGGAAGCUUGACUGCAAGACCUACAAGUCGAGCAGAGACGAAAGUCGGCCUUAGUGAUCCGACAGUACUGAGUGGAAAGGCUGUCGCUCAACGGAUAAAAGUUACUCUAGGGAUAACAGGCUGA
rnacentral:rRNA from 1 species